GAUGAACGCUAGCGAUAGGCUUAACACAUGCAAGUCGAGGGGCAGCACAAGGUAGCUUGCUAUCUGGGUGGCGACCGGCGCACGGGUGCGUAACGCGUAUGCAACUUGCCCUAUACAGGAGGAUAACCCGUCGAAAGACGGACUAAUACUGCGUAUGCUCACAACUUGGCAUCAAGUGGUGAGGAAAGAAAUUCGGUAUAGGAUAGGCAUGCGUCCCAUUAGCUUGUUGGUGAGGUAACGGCUCACCAAGGCAACGAUGGGUAGGGGAACUGAGAGGUUUACCCCCCGCACUGGUACUGAGACACGGACCAGACUCCUACGGGAGGCAGCGGUGUGGUCUAUUAGUCGCUAGGCGCGAGCCUGAACCAGCCAAGUCGCGUGAAGGAUGACUGUCUUAUGGAUUGUAAGCUUCUUUUGUACGGGAAUAACAAGAGUCACGUGUGACUCCCUGCAUGUACCGUAUGAAUAAGCAUCGGCUAACUCCGUG
rnacentral:rRNA from 1 species